rnacentral:rRNA from 1 species
CACUAUCGUUAACUGAAUACAUAGGUUAACGAGGCGAACCGGGGGAACUGAAACAUCUAAGUACCCCGAGGAAAAGAAAUCAACCGAGAUUCCCCCAGUAGCGGCGAGCGAACGGGGAGCAGCCCAGAGUCUGAAUCAGCUUGUGUGUUAGUGGAACGGUCUGGAAAGUCCGACGGUACAGGGUGAUAGUCCCGUACACCAAAAUGCACAGGUUGUGAACUCGAAGAGUAGGGCGGGACACGUGGUAUCCUGUCUGAAUAUGGGGGGACCAUCCUCCAAGGCUAAAUACUCCUGACUGACCGAUAGUGAACCAGUACCGUGAGGGAAAGGCGAAAAGAACCCCGGCGAGGGGAGUGAAAAAGAACCUGAAACCGUGUACGUACAAGCAGUGGGAGCACCUUUAGGUGUGACUGCGUACCUUUUGUAUAAUGGGUCAGCGACUUAUAUUCUGUAGCAAGGUUAACCGUAUAGGGGAGCCGCAGGGAAACCGAGUCUUAACUGGGCGUUAAGUUGCAGGGUAUAGACCCGAAACCCGGUGAUCUAGCCAUGGGCAGGUUGAAGGUUGGGUAACACUAACUGGAGGACCGAACCGACUAAUGUUGAAAAAUUAGCGGAUGACUUGUGGCUGGGGGUGAAAGGCCAAUCAAACCGGGAGAUAGCUGGUUCUCCCCGAAAGCUAUUUAGGUAGCGCCUCGUGAACUCAUCUUCGGGGGUAGAGCACUGUUUCGGCUAGGGGGUCAUCCCGACUUACCAACCCGAUGCAAACUACGAAUACCGAAGAAUGUUAUCACGGGAGACACACGGCGGGUGCUAACGUCCGUCGUGAAGAGGGAAACAACCCAGACCGCCAGCUAAGGUCCCAAAGUCACAGUUAAGUGGGAAACGAUGUGGGAAGGCACAGACAGCCAGGAUGUUGGCUUAGAAGCAGCCAUCAUUUAAAGAAAGCGUAAUAGCUCACUGGUCGAGUCGGCCUGCGCGGAAGAUGUAACGGGGCUAAACUGUGCACCGAAGCUGCGGCAGCGACACUAUGUGUUGUUGGGUAGGGGAGCGUUCUGUAAGCCUGCGAAGGUGGCCUGUGAGGGUUGCUGGAGGUAUCAGAAGUGCGAAUGCUGACAUAAGUAACGAUAAUGCGGGUGAAAAGCCCGCACGCCGGAAGACCAAGGGUUCCUGUCCAACGUUAAUCGGGGCAGGGUGAGUCGACCCCUAAGGCGAGGCCGAAAGGCGUAGUCGAUGGGAAACAGGUUAAUAUUCCUGUACUUGGUGUUACUGCGAAGGGGGGACGGAGAAGGCUAUGUUAGCCGGGCGACGGUUGUCCCGGUUUAAGCAUGUAGGCGGAGGUUCCAGGUAAAUCCGGUACCUUUUAACGCUGAGGUGUGAUGACGAGGCACUACGGUGCUGAAGUAACAAAUGCCCUGCUUCCAGGAAAAGCCUCUAAGCAUCAGGUAACAUCAAAUCGUACCCCAAACCGACACAGGUGGUCAGGUAGAGAAUACCAAGGCGCUUGAGAGAACUCGGGUGAAGGAACUAGGCAAAAUGGUGCCGUAACUUCGGGAGAAGGCACGCUGAUAUGUAGGUGAAGUCCCUGCGGAUGGAGCUGAAAUCAGUCGAAGAUACCAGCUGGCUGCAACUGUUUAUUAAAAACACAGCACUGUGCAAACACGAAAGUGGACGUAUACGGUGUGACGCCUGCCCGGUGCCGGAAGGUUAAUUGAUGGGGUUAUCCGUAAGGAGAAGCUCUUGAUCGAAGCCCCGGUAAACGGCGGCCGUAACUAUAACGGUCCUAAGGUAGCGAAAUUCCUUGUCGGGUAAGUUCCGACCUGCACGAAUGGCGUAAUGAUGGCCAGGCUGUCUCCACCCGAGACUCAGUGAAAUUGAACUCGCUGUGAAGAUGCAGUGUACCCGCGGCAAGACGGAAAGACCCCGUGAACCUUUACUAUAGCUUGACACUGAACAUUGAGCCUUGAUGUGUAGGAUAGGUGGGAGGCUUUGAAGCGUGGACGCCAGUCUGCGUGGAGCCAACCUUGAAAUACCACCCUUUAAUGUUUGAUGUUCUAACGUUGGCCCCUGACCGGGGUUGCGGACAGUGUCUGGUGGGUAGUUUGACUGGGGCGGUCUCCUCCCAAAGAGUAACGGAGGAGCACGAAGGUUAGCUAAUCCUGGUCGGACAUCAGGAGGUUAGUGCAAUGGCAUAAGCUAGCUUGACUGCGAGCGUGACGGCGCGAGCAGGUGCGAAAGCAGGUCAUAGUGAUCCGGUGGUUCUGAAUGGAAGGGCCAUCGCUCAACGGAUAAAAGGUACUCCGGGGAUAACAGGCUGAUACCGCCCAAGAGUUCAUAUCGACGGCGGUGUUUGGCACCUCGAUGUCGGCUCAUCACAUCCUGGGGCUGAAGUAGGUCCCAAGGGUAUGGCUGUUCGCCAUUUAAAGUGGUACGCGAGCUGGGUUUAGAACGUCGUGAGACAGUUCGGUCCCUAUCUGCCGUGGGCGCUGGAGAAUUGAGGGGGGCUGCUCCUAGUACGAGAGGACCGGAGUGGACGCAUCACUGGUGUUCGGGUUGUCAUGCCAAUGGCAUUGCCCGGUAGCUAAAUGCGGAAGAGAUAAGUGCUGAAAGCAUCUAAGCACGAAACUUGCCCCGAGAUGAGUUCUCCCUGAGACUUUAAGUCUCCUGAAGGAACGUUAAAGACGAUGACGUUGAUAGGUCGGGUGUGUAAGCGUAGCGAUACGUUGAGCUAACCGAUACUAAUGAACCGUGAGGCUUAACCUUACAACGCCGAAG